CCAGCCAGGCAGAAAUAGGUUCUCAGUGUAAGGCCCAGUCAAGUGUCUCAUUCACAGGAGGAAAGCCAUUGAAUUCCGCCUUCCCAUUGCCUCCUCCCACUGUCGCCUCUUAACAACGUGGAGCGAUCUCACUACGCUGGACUUCACCGGCAUCCCAUUGCCCUUUCUUUUCACAUUGGCAAUCUCUCCUCUUGCCAAGUAUCUCUUUAUCUUUCUUCUUCUUUCAUUGAAUCCAGCAUGUAAUUACCGCUGAGCAAGUACCAUGUGCCAAACCCUUUAUUAGGACAGGGGUGCGAAGUCCCAGCCUGCAUGGGCUCCCAAUGGCAUUAGGGAAAUGUCACCGCAUCAUCAGAAGAGUCCAAGGUAAGUUCCGGGCUCGUGAUGAGAGGGGAGCACAGAAGGCCAAGGAAUAGGGACUAGACGGGGACACGGGGAAUGAGGGGAUACUUCUUAGGGGAUGGUUAAGCCCAUGCUUUGAGCUGAGUCCUGAAAGGUGGAGUAUGGUUUCCAAAAGAGACAAGUGACGCUCAAUCCAAGAAGAAGAAACAACCGCACAAAGGCUCAGAAUUUGAGAAGCACGCGGCGUUUGGAGAGCCAUGGCAGCUGAGGGUGCCCAGAGCACGCUGAAGCCCAGUCUGCAGGGAUCAUUUAUUUCUACAUCCUCUCACCUGGAUCCUGACUCACUCCUGCUUGUCCUUGAUUUGACCCUGAAGCACCACCCACCCUCCCAUUUUCCCAGAGAAGGGAGGAAAAACCGAAUGAGAUCAGCAGCUACGCGAACGGAGAAACCAACCAUGUCAGGAAUCCUAGCAAAAGUGCUCAACAAAAGCAGGAAGGAUGCAAAAAAAAAAAAAAAAAAAAAAAAAAAAAAAAAGAAAAGAAAAAAAGAAAAAAAAAAUCCUCACACAGGAAGUAGGGAGGCAAAAAGUAGAAAGAGAAAAACAAAUUUAGGUCACCUGUGGAAACUACUAAGUUGUCUAAUGAAACCCAGGAUAUGAGAGCAUGAGUUAGAAAAAGCCGGGAAAAUAAUAAUAGCUAAUAGUUACGUAGUAGUCACUAUAUAAAUAUAUUUCUAAGCAUAAAACAUUUGUUAACUCAUUUAAGCCUCACAGAAGUCCUAUGAGUUGAAUACUAUUAUUAUCCCCGCUUUCCAGAUGGGGAGACUGAGACACAGAGGAGAGAACCUAUAGCUAUAUGCAAUGGGUUAGAAUCAGUAAUCUGGCUGGGCGUGGUGGUUUACGCCUGUAAUCCCAGCACUUUGGGAGGUCAAGGCCAGAGGAUCACCUGAGCCCAAGAGUUGGAGACCAGCCUAGGUAACAGGCAGAUCCUGUCUAUACAAAAAAUAAUUUUAAAAAGCUGGGCACAGUGGCUCGUGCCUGUAAUUCCAGCACUUUGGGAGGCCAAGGCAGGCGGAUCACUUAAGGUCGAGAGUUCGAGAUCAGCGUGACCAACAUGGAGAAAUCCCGUCUCUACUAAAAACACAAAAUUAGCUGGGCCCGGUGGCACAUGCCUGGAAUCCCAGCUUCUCGGGAGGCUGAGGCAGGAGAAUCGCUUGAAACCGGAAGGCAGAUGUUGCGGUGAGCCAAGAUCGUGCCAUUACACUCCAGCCUGGACAAUAAGAGCGAGACUCUGCCUCCAAAAUAAUAAUAAAAUAAAAUUUAAAAGUUAAAAAAUUUAAAGAAAUUAGUUGGUUGUGAUGGUGCAUGCCUUUAGUCUCAGCUACUUGGGAGGCUGAGGAGGGAGUAUGACUUGAGUCUGGGAGAUGGAGGCUGCAGUAAGCCAUGAUUAUGCCACUGCACUACAGCUUAGGUAAAAGAGCAAGACUCCGUCUCAAAAAUAACAAUAAAAAUAAAAAAGAAUUAGUAAUCUGCAUCUAACACCAAUUUACAAUGAAUAAGUAUGUAAGGGGUUUGGGAAUCUUCCCUCUCAUUCUCUUCCUAUAUAACU
rnacentral:lncRNA from 1 species